rnacentral:rRNA from 1 species
AUUGAACGCUGGCGGCAGGCCUAACACAUGCAAGUCGAGCGGUAGAGAGAAGCUUGCUUCUCUUGAGAGCGGCGGACGGGUGAGUAAUGCCUAGGAAUCUGCCUGGUAGUGGGGGAUAACGUUCGGAAACGGACGCUAAUACCGCAUACGUCCUACGGGAGAAAGCAGGGGACCUUCGGGCCUUGCGCUAUCAGAUGAGCCUAGGUCGGAUUAGCUAGUUGGUGGGGUAAUGGCUCACCAAGGCGACGAUCCGUAACUGGUCUGAGAGGAUGAUCAGUCACACUGGAACUGAGACACGGUCCAGACUCCUACGGGAGGCACCAGUGGGGAAUAUUGGACAAUGGGCGAAAGCCUGAUCCAGCCAUGCCGCGUGUGUGAAGAAGGUCUUCGGAUUGUAAAGCACUUUAAGUUGGGAGGAAGGGCAGUAAAUUAAUACUUUGCUGUUUUGACGUUACCGACAGAAUAAGCACCGGCUAACUCUGUG